rnacentral:rRNA from 1 species
AAUGAACGUUGGCGGCGUGGAUUAGGCAUGCAAGUCGCGCGAGAAAUUUCCUUCGGGAAAUGGACAGCGGCGGAAGGGAGAGGAAUAAGUAGAAAUCUGCCCUCGGGACGGGGAUAGCGGUGGGAAACUGCCGGUAAUACCCGAUAACAUCUUUGGAUCAAAUGGUGUGAUUCCGCCUGAGGAUGAGUCUACUUCCUAUUAGCUAGUUGGUGGGGUAAUGGCCUACCAAGGCAACGAUGGGUAGCGGGUGUGAGAGCACGACCCGCCUCACUGGGACUGAGACACUGCCCAGACACCUACGGGUGGCUGCAGUCGAGAAUCUUCGGCAAUGGGGGAAACCCUGACCGAGCGACGCCGCGUGCGGGAUGAAGGCCCUUGGGUUGUAAACCGCUGUCGUAAGGGAACAAAUCCAUAGGGGUACUCCCCUAUGGUUGAGUGAUCUUAGGAGGAAGGACGGGCUAAGUUCGUGCCAGCAGCCGCGG